rnacentral:rRNA from 1 species
AAUCAAGUGCCUUAAGGGUGUUCGGUGGAUGCCUUGGCGCUGAGAGGCGAUGAAGGACGUGCUACGCUGCGAUAAGCCGUGGGGAGCUGCGAAGAAGCUUUGAUCCGCGGAUUUCCGAAUGGGGAAACCCACCUUCGAUAGCCGGAACUCCAAGACCUUGUGUGUUGGGGUUCGAUCAGAAAUGCGAGAAAUCAAACCGCGAGGUUUUGGAUUUCCGGUUAUCAAGAGAAGGUAUGAGACCUCCGAAUAAAAUAGGAGGUUUUAAGCAAACCCAGGGAACUGAAACAUCUAAGUACC